UACAGAGGGUGCGAGCGUUGUUCGGAAUUAUUGGGCGUAAAGCGAGUGUAGGCGGGAUCGUAUGUCGGGCGUGAAAGCCCUCGGCUCAACCGAGGAAGUGCGCACGAAACUGCGGUUCUUGAGUGUCGGAGAGGGUGACGGAAUUCCCGGUGUAGAGGUGAAAUUCGUAGAUAUCGGGAGGAACACCAGUGGCGAAGGCGGUCACCUGGACGAACACUGACGCUGAGACUCGAAAGCGUGGGUAGCAAAC
rnacentral:rRNA from 1 species